ensembl:lncRNA
AUGGCUUCUGCUGGGCAACCCGCAGCUGGAAGCAUGGGAGCAGGGCACAGCAGCUCCCGGUGGGACCUGGAAGCGCUGGCACGGCCAGGCCCUGGGGAGCUCGCAUUAGAGCUGCGCUCAGGGGGUGCUGUGGACCCCGCAGCCCCACCGAGCCAUGCACCACACUACCACAACGCUGCUUUUAGUGCCUGUAUUGACCCCUACAGCCUGCCUCCUCACAGUGGCCCAUGUGCAGCUGCUGCCCUCCACACACCAUACCAGCCUUUGUCUAGCAUCUCCUCUUCUGCAGACAGUGACCGUGUUCCACCUGCCUCAUCACAGGCCCCCUGCUUAGGGCUAAGCACCCUGAGCCACGGCUCUAGCUCAGCCUGAACGCUGAGUGCUGGCUCCUGGGGCGACACAGGACCACCACGUACUGGAUUGCGCCCAGAGAUGGCCGCCCCUAGCCUUGGCAGCACAGAACCUGGCCCCACAGCUCCACUCAGCCAGCACCACAAAGCAUUUGAGAUACCAACACCAUACCUCCUCCUUACAUACUUACCACUUAGUUCCUCUUCGGGCUUUAACAGUGUUGUCCUUGGUUUAAAUAUUUGCUUCUUGAGCAGAGAGAAGGCCUUGGACUGCUGAAGUUCAGACAAGACUCCCAUAUUCCUGAGAAGCCGAAGCACCCUGUGUAGCAAGAAUGGCUUCACCUUGUGCUGGGCCACCUUGAGAGGACUGAGAGGAAUUUUGGGCAGGUUGACUUCCCGAUCACAGUUAUAAAACCGAAAGAGGUUCCAGGCCAAGCUAGGUCCAAAGGUAUCCACUAAAAUAUAUCUGGAAAGUGUAAGGAGCAUGUCGCAGGACAAUUGCUUUUCUUGUGGUUUCUGGCUCAGGUUCUGACUUAGCAAACUUCUCCUUCCCUGGCGACCCAGGAGAGAGCUGCUCCUGAACAGGCUGGAGGGUUUGUAAGAGCCCAUGGUCCCAGAAAGGCUUUUCUUACUGUGCAACAACAGUCUUUCAUAAUCCGCAUCCCACAAAGAACUGUUGGGAUUCAGGCUAUGUUCUGAAAUAAUCGUAAAUACAGUAAAACCUAUUAAACGGCAAAGAACCCCAGUGGGAACGUUUCUUUAAAACAACCGUAAAUAUAUCUCUACAUUUAUCAGUGUUACAGCCCUGGAUACAGUGCAGAUUGCUACACCACUCUGACAAACAAUGUUUUGACAGGCCAAAUCAAUAGAUGUGCCAUAGAUAGGGUUUUAGGUACUAUAACAUAAUAACUGUUAUUUAUAAUUUUUUUAUUUAAACUAAUGUUACUGUAACGCUUAUGAAAACUAUCUUUGUUAUUGGUACAUAUGCUCCAGAGUACACAGAUUCCUAAAAAAAGACCCCAAUCACCAAAAGAGUAUGUACUAUUCCAUAUAAAUUUUCUGAAAAAUGGUAAGAAAAAUAACAAUUCCUAUUAAAGACUAUAAAAGCCUUUUUCAUACAUGACCAGGAAAGGAAACAUAUACUUCUGCUGGGCCAUUUGCAUUUUGGGUACAGUCUCAGGCCCUAGUAGGUUUCCAGUAGAUAUAGGUUGGGUUUAAAUGAAAGGCUCAGUUUCACUUUCUAGGUGAUCUUCCUGGUCUCUGCCUGUUGAUUAAAGCCAUUAGCCUGGUGUAACAGGGUUUAGCUUCAUCCUGCACACAAGCUAGUACCAGUAUGGAAGGACUGGGACUCUCUGGUGCUUAAAUUUGCUUCUCAGGUAGUGCCCCUACCCAGCUCUCCUUCACCUAGGCUGAGCCCAAAGGUUCAAUUUACACUGAGAACUGAUCAAUAAAACAAUUAAAUGCAACAUAAGUAGGCUGGGACUUGAUGAUAAGUAGGGCUGCAAACACACAAUAAAGCUCUAAUAAUUAAAAGGGACAAAGAACCCAAAACUUAAUUGCAUCUUGCCAAAAGUGUUUAAAAUAGUGUUUUAACUUAACAGCACCCUGCUAAAGGCUGGAGGUCACGUCCUGGGAGCCCUGGGAUGUG